AUGCUACAAGGUGUUUGGAAGGUAGAUCUAAGAACUCUUACAACAUAUCAGGAACUAUCUUCUGACCUUGAGAAGAUAUUCAGCUGUUUUACCCUAGUUUCAGGUCAGUGUGGUUCCCAUGGAGCUCUAGGAAGAGAAUUGGAUGUAUCAUGGGAGAUGUUCAUUGAUACUUGCAGAAGGCUGAAAAUCGUGAAGGGUUCUGAUGCCAUUGGCUUAGGUUGCCUUAAUUUCAAUGAACAAAGCGCCAAUUCAAGGGACUGGAGUGACUAG